UACGUAGGGUGCGAGCGUUAAUCGGAAUUACUGGGCGUAAAGUGUGCGCAGGCGGCCGCGCAAGUCGAGUGUGAAAGCCCCGAGCUUAACUUGGGAAUUGCGCUCGAAACUACUUGGCUGGAGUGUGGCAGAGGAAGGUGGAAUUCCAGGUGUAGCGGUGAAAUGCGUAGAGAUCUGGAGGAACACCGAUGGCGAAGGCAGCCUUCUGGGCCAACACUGACGCUCAUGCACGAAAGCGUGGGGAGCAAACAGG
rnacentral:rRNA from 1 species